CGUGCCUAACACAUGCAAGUCGAACGGAGUUCUUAAGGAUUGCGACUUCGGUCAAAUGACUUUUGAACUUAGUGGCGGACGGGUGAGUAACGCGUGAGCAACCUGCCUUUCAGAGGGGGAUAACAUUUGGAAACAGAUGCUAAUACCGCAUAAGAUUACAGUACCGCAUGAUACAGUGAUCAAAGGAGCAAUCCGCUGAAAGAUGGGCUCGCGUCCGAUUAGAUAGUUGGUGAGGUAACGGCUCACCAAGUCGACGAUCGGUAGCCGGACUGAGAGGUUGAACGGCCACAUUGGGACUGAGACACGGCCCAGACUCCUACGGGAGGCAGCAGUGGGGAAUAUUGCACAAUGGGCGAAAGCCUGAUGCAGCAACGCCGCGUGAGGGAAGACGGUUUUCGGAUUGUAAACCUCUGUUUUCGGUGACGAAUAAAUGACGGUAACCGAGUAGGAAGCCACGGCUAACUACGUGCCAGCAGCCGCGGUAAUACGUAGGUGGCAAGCGUUAUCCGGAGUUACUGGGUGUAAAGGGAGCGCAGGCGGGAUAGCAAGUCAGCUGUGAAAACUAUGGGCUCAACCCAUAAACUGCAGUUGAAACUGUUAUUCUUGAGUGGAGUAGAGGCAAGCGGAAUUCCGAGUGUAGCGGUGAAAUGCGUAGAUAUUCGGAGGAACACCAGUGGCGAAGGCGGCUUGCUGGGCUCUAACUGACGCUGAGGCUCGAAAGUGUGGGGAGCAAACAGGAUUAGAUACCCUGGUAGUCCACACUGUAAACGAUGAUUGCUAGGUGUGGGGGGUCUGACCCCCUCCGUGCCGGAGUUAACGCAAUAAGCAAUCCACCUGGGGAGUACGGCCGCAAGGUUGAAACUCAAAUGAAUUGACGG
rnacentral:rRNA from 1 species